rnacentral:rRNA from 1 species
CACGUAAGUUGCGAGCGUUGUUCGGAAUUAUUGGGCGUAAAGGGCAUGUAGGCGGUUUUGCAAGCUUGAUGUGAAAUGCAGGGGCUUAACUCCGGCACUGCGUUGAGAACUGCAUGACUAGAGUAACUGAGGGGCAGCCGGAAUUCCAGGUGUAGGGGUGAAAUCUGUAGAUAUCUGGAAGAACACCAAUGGCGAAGGCAGGCUACCAGCAGAUUACUGACGCUGAGGUGCGAAGGUGCGGGGAGCAAACAGG